GAUGAACGCUGCGGCGUGCUUAACACAUGCAAGUCGAACGAACCUUCGGGUUAGUGGCGGACGGGUGAGUAACGCGUGGGAAUCUGCCCUCAGGAGGGGGAUAACGGCUGGAAACGGCCGCUAAUACCCCAUAUGCCGAGAGGUGAAAUGAAUUUCGCCUGAGGAUGAGCCCGCGUCUGAUUAGCUAGUUGGUGAGGUAAGAGCUCACCAAGGCAUCGAUCAGUAGCUGGUCUGAGAGGAUGAUCAGCCACACUGGGACUGAGACACGGCCCAGACUCCUACGGGAGGCAGCAGUGGGGAAUUUUCCGCAAUGGGCGAAAGCCUGACGGAGCAACGCCGCGUGAGGGAUGAAGGCCUCUGGGCUGUAAACCUCUUUUCUCAAGGAAGAAGAUCUGACGGUACUUGAGGAAUAAGCCACGGCUAAUUCCGUGCCAGCCGCCGCCGUAAAC
rnacentral:rRNA from 1 species